CUUACUAUGGACUUAAGGCUCACAUUGGUUUCCUUUGUUCUUAUUUUAAAAGGUGUCCAGUGUGAGAUGCAAUUGCUGGAGUCUGGGGGAGGCUUAGUGCAGCCUGGAAAGUCCCUGAAACUCUCCUGUGCAGCCUCUGGAUUCUCCGUCAGUGGGUACUGGAUGAAUUGGGUCCAUCAGGCUCCAGGGAAAGGGCUGGAGUGGGUUGCAGCCAUUAGUACUGGUGGUAGCACCUACUAUCCCGACGCUGUGAAGGACCGGUUCACAAUCUCCAGAGACAACGCCAAGAACACUCUGUACCUGGAAAUGAGCAGUCUGACGUCUGAGGACACAGCCAUGUAUUACUGUGCAAGAGACACAGUGAGUGAAUGCUACUGUGAUCUCAGACAAAAACACCCCUGUUUGGUACACGGGACCAGCAGGGGGCGCUGA